GAGCUUGCUUCAAUUGCCGGCGACCGGCGCACGGGUGAGUAACGCGUAUCCAACCUUCCGCUUACUCGGGGAUAGCCUUUCGAAAGAAAGAUUAAUACCCGAUGGUAUCUUAAGCACGCAUGAGAUUAAGAUUAAAGAUUUAUCGGUAAGCGAUGGGGAUGCGUUCCAUUAGGCAGUUGGCGGGGUAACGGCCCACCAAACCUACGAUGGAUAGGGGUUCUGAGAGGAAGGUCCCCCACAUUGGAACUGAGACACGGUCCAAACUCCUACGGGAGGCAGCAGUGAGGAAUAUUGGUCAAUGGGCGAGAGCCUGAACCAGCCAAGUAGCGUGAAGGAUGACGGCCCUACGGGUUGUAAACUUCUUUUGUGCGGGAAUAAAGGAGCCUACGUGUAGGCUUUUGCAUGUACCGUAACGAAUAAGCAUCGGCUAACUCCGUGCCAGCAGCCGCGGUAAUACGGAGGAUGCGAGCGUUAUCCGGAUUUAUUGGGUUUAAAGGGAGCGUAGACGGGUUUUUAAGUCAGCUGUGAAAGUUUGGGGCUCAACCUUAAAAUUGCAGUUGAAACUGGAGACCUUGAGUACGGUUGAGGCAGGCGGAAUUCGUGGUGUAGCGGUGAAAUGCUUAGAUAUCACGAAGAACUCCGAUUG
rnacentral:rRNA from 1 species